rnacentral:lncRNA from 1 species
CAGAGCAGCCAUUCAACAAACGCAUGAAUGGUCAUCGAAGUGACUACACUUGCAAGCCCGACCUACCCGUAAGUCGUCAUUUGAGAUCACCUGGACACACACAAGCUGAUCUCAAAAACCUUACCAUCACAAUCAUAGACCACAACGAGGGUUGGUCGAAGGUCGACAGAGUCGCUCGGGAAAGAUUUUGGAUAAGAAAAUUACGGACAGUUUCCCAAGAGGGCAUAAAUGAAAAAACAUAGAACGAG